UACGGAGGGGGCUAGCGUUGUUCGGAAUUACUGGGCGUAAAGCGCGCGUAGGCGGAUCUGCAAGUCGGGGGUGAAAUCCCGAGGCUUAACCUCGGAACUGCCUUCGAUACUGCGGGUCUCGAGUCCGGGAGAGGUGAGUGGAAUUCCUAGUGUAGAGGUGAAAUUCGUAGAUAUUAGGAAGAACACCAGUGGCGAAGGCGGCUCACUGGCCCGGUACUGACGCUGAGGCGCGAAAGCGUGGGGAGCAAACAGG
rnacentral:rRNA from 1 species